UGAAUUUCAUGACAGAUCGUUGGAGUAACUGGUUUUGUUUUGACAAAGCUUGAUGGUUUUUGCGAGUGGUAGCUGUGUGGUAUGCGUGUUUUUUGUACAACUCUCCUUGGUUCACAUAUUUGAUACUCUGUACAGGUUGCCAUAUAUUUCUGCAUACACAAUCACCUUUUAGUAUUUCAUGUUAAGAAUAUUAAAUAUAUAAAAUAGAUAUUGCUUACAUGUAUAGGUGAAAAUUGUAUGACCACAUGUUUGUUAACAUUUUAUAGGGGUUUGGAUGUGUUUGUUGUGUUCCCUGUGUUUGUACAGGUUGCCAAAGUUAUUUCAUGAUUAUGCUUUUAAAAGAGUUCCCUUCAUUUGACGGGUUCAGUUUCAAUUAGUAUUUAGCCAUAUUUUGGAUCUAUAAUUAACUAAAACAUAUCUUCCUGUGUAGCUCUUUUCUUCUGAUCUUAUGUCUCAAUUAUUUUGUGAAGGACUCACAAAUGAAGUCGGGAAGCAGGCAACUUCAUCCGCUGUUCCUGCAAUGCGUGGAAAUGAGUCUUCCACUCCAGCUGCAGGAGGAAUGGCUAAUGCCGGAUCUAGGGAGAGUAUGCAAUCGCAGCUUUGAAUAAAGUAAAGCAAAUAAUUGAGUAGCUAAUGUGGAAUUUGGUAUCUGACAAAAAAUUAUCAGUUGAUUUGCAAGCCAGAAAUUCACAUAUUUAGACAGAUUAAUACACUUCUAGAAUACUGAAACAUAAAUGAGAUUGAUGUAUUCCAUUACAAAAGAUUAUUAAUCCAUAUGAGAAUUCAGAAUUGAAAUACUGAGAGCAGUUGAUUAUUAUCUGUGUUUGAUAUUUCAUUUUUCUGCAAUAUUUAUAACAUUUAAAUGUUGUAAGCUAUAUAACUUCUUGUUUUUGUGGAAUGUAAUUGACAUUAAGGAACUCAAUUAGGCAAUUGUGACCAACUUAUUAUCUGAAAAGCAAGCCAAUCCAAAGAUAAAAUUAAUUUCUAAUGAAUCACACAACACCAUUACGAAAUACGGAUGUAAUUUAGAAACUAACAUGCAUGUCUUUAAAACAAAAAUAGCUCAACUAUACUAAGCAGUUCCAACUGCUUACUAUGGAAGACAGUACUACAAAUGGUGAUUUUUUGAGUGUAAUGUUUUGUUUUCCUGACAAACUCAGGGUUUCUAUUUAUAUUGCUGUUGCGAUUACUACUUGCUUCAUUAGCUGAUGAUCUUGGCCUUAGUCUUUUGGGAGACGUAACACCACCAGGUGCCAGAAUAGUAGGUGCAGAAGAUUUGUCUCUGGAUGAUACUGCCAUUCGAGGUGCAUGUUUCAUGGAUUCCAGUUCAUUUGACAUUAGGGAGUUGAUUGUCCCAGUGGUUCCAACUUUGAUGGACCCUCCACCACCUUUGAUGGACUCCAAUCUCUAUCAGAGUUCUG
rnacentral:lncRNA from 1 species